rnacentral:rRNA from 1 species
ACGUCACGCCUGCCCGGUGACUAUAUGUUAAACGGCCGCGGUAUACUGACCGUGCCAAGGUAGCGCAAUCACUUGCCCUUUAAAUGGGGGCCCGUAUGAACGGCGCCACGAGGGCUAAUCUGUCUCCUUUUUCCAGUCAAUGAAAUUGAUCUCCCCGUGCAGAAGCGGGGAUAAACACAUAAGACGAGAAGACCCUGUGGAGCUUUAGAUACUAAGAUUGGUCCCCUCAACAUACUCUAAUAAAAGUAUUCAAACAAGGAAUUCAAUCGGACUAUCUUUGGUUGGGGCGACCGCGGGGAUCAAAAUAACCCCCACGUGGACCGGGAAUCUCAGUUCUACUCUAGUACUUUUUAUUCCUACAAUCAAGAGUUACCACUCUAAUCAACAGAACUUCUGACCAAUAAUGAUCCGACAAAGUCGAUCAACGGACCAAGUUACCCCAGGGAUAACAGCGCAAUCCCCUCUAAGAGUCCUUAUCGACGAGGGGGUUUACGACCUCGAUGUUGGAUCAGGACAUCCCAUUGGCGUACAAGCUAUUAAGGGUUCGUUUGUUCAACGAUUAAAGUCCUACGUGAU